rnacentral:lncRNA from 1 species
UUUCAAAGUCAGGAAGUCACGUGGGGCUCUUUUGGGAAAACAUUUUUUAGUAAAAAAGAUCUGCUGACUCGCUUUUGAGAUCAAGUGACGAGAAUUUUUCAAAAGCUGGGUUUAAUCCAAUUUCUUAGAGGUUUUCGACCUGCUUGGUGAUGAAUUACCAUUUAAUUGGCAAUUUUAUUGGUUAUUUUUGUGUUUUUAAACCUCUGCCACCUUUGCAAAAAACUUGGGCUUCUAAUGUCG